rnacentral:rRNA from 1 species
UACGAAGGGGGCUAGCGUUGCUCGGAAUCACUGGGCGUAAAGGGUGCGUAGGCGGGUCUUUAAGUCAGAGGUGAAAGCCUGGAGCUCAACUCCAGAACUGCCUUUGAUACUGAGGAUCUCGAGUUCGGGAGAGGUGAGUGGAACUGCGAGUGUAGAGGUGAAAUUCGUAGAUAUUCGCAAGAACACCAGUGGCGAAGGCGGCUCACUGGCCCGAUACUGACGCUGAGGCACGAAAGCGUGGGGAGAAAACAGG